rnacentral:sRNA from 2 species
GGGGAAGGGUGAGAACCUUCGAUUAAGGUUCGACUCGAGCGAAAGCGAGAGAAUGUUGCCAACGGCAACGGCCCGUAGGGUGAGGAGCGAAGCGACGAAUAAUCCUUCCCCCACCACCA